AGCAGCCCUGUUAAAUCCAGCAUCGUCCACUCUGGUUGGUGCUGGCCCAGCUGGCUGCUACGGAAAUAGCUGCAGCUCGUGGGCCCCACGUCAUGGGAUCACAGGAUGGUUUGGGUUGGGAGGAACC